rnacentral:lncRNA from 1 species
AAAGCUCUGGUGAUUCAGUAGUGGACGGGACUCUGCUGGAGCAGGACUUCAGAGUGUUUGUUUUCAGCCUGCUUUUAAAGUGAUUUGAAGAGAGUGGCUUUGAAGUGUGUGCCUUCGGCAAAAGAGGCAUACCUCCAAAUUCAGCUGAUUACUCAGCUAUUCAAUAUCAGCGCGACUGAAGGGAACCUAGCCAUCUCCAUGAAGGGGUGCUUCUCCGCCAGAGCCAGUCUCCAAUGUAGCAGGUGACAAGGCGAGCAGGAAUGAGCCCAAACCAGGGAACAUCUGGAACCCUCAAGGGAACUGCGAAUGCUUCGUUUUUCUCCAGUAGAAUCCCCUUCUGCAUCCCUGUAUUGAGCAACUGCACUCACCAAAGGCAGAAAAUAGAAAGGAAUUGGGGUGGGACAUCACAGCCCUAAAAAGCCCUAAAAGACACUGAAUUAUGAAUUUAUAGUAACUAGUGAAAAUGCUGCGGCUUAAGUAAUGCUUGGCAAACCAUCAUGUAUAGUUGUGUCUAUUGAUCACUGCCCAAGGGCACCAGCCAAGAGCUGAAGGGGGGCCAAGAUCCACCUCAUGUGCUGUCUGGCAGAAG